rnacentral:lncRNA from 1 species
UUGCACUUAGCAGCUGAAGAAGGAAUGACUGAGACGAAUUCGCCCUAAAAUGUGCAGCUGUAUCCAAGAUUCGAUUACCGACAAUGGAAUGAUUUGGUUGCAGUGAAUUACUCAGUAAUUCCCUAUGAGAGCAAAAUAAAAACAUUCGUUUUCCUACAGAAAUUCUCCAAACUAGAAAAGCUCACCAAUGGCUAAGUAGAUACGAACCAGUUCCAUUAAAAGGUCUUCCCACGAAGACAUCUUUUCCUUCUCAGGUCAGGUUACUUUUCGCAAACAAGGCAGAAAUCAUCUUCACUACAUGAGAAAUUGCUGCUGUGAGAUCAACUGUCUAAAUUUGUAAUAAAUAUAUCGAAACAGUCUGCAAUUCUAAAACACCAUCAAUUCAAGACACAUUCUAAUAUGUGGUACGAAAACAUCUGCCUGGCGCAGUAGAGACGGCACAAAACAUAAGAAAGGGAGGACAGAAACAAGGU